rnacentral:lncRNA from 1 species
UUUUUAUUAUUAUCAUUAAGUAUAAGUAAAAGUAAAAGUUAAAAAAAAAAAGACAAGCUAAUGCGGGAACUCCUGCAUUAGCGCGCGCCCCAAUACCCAGUCCCAAUGAGCCUCAAUUGCUCCCAAAUAUGUUAUUGGUUUAAAUUAAUAUUGGGCCCACACUCAAUACUAUGCAAUACCACACGCCAAACACACCAUUUGCGUAAAUUGAUAGUCUGAAUGGUGUAGUUUAAAGAGUCGUGACUCAUGAUCAAUACACAUUGUUAUCAUUUUUAUUUUUUUAAACAUAUGUUAUUCGAGCAUACACUGAGAAAAUUUGGGUAAAAACAAUGAUUGUGAAAUGUUAUCUCACUAUUAAAAAAUGAACGAAAAAAUAUAAGUUCUAACUUCUAUGGUUAAUACAAGUUAGUUUGGUAAGGUUAGAUUCUUAAUUUCAAUAUUAUUAUUGCUCGUCUUCAAAUCUUCCCUCCGACUUUUGAAAAUUUCAAGUUAUGUCAUUUUUUAUUUUAAAGAUAAGAGGAAAAUGAGGGAUUAAGGAUUUCAACUUUGUUUUUUUUUUCCAAUUUAUAUUUUUCUAUGACAAAGAAGACAAUUUCGAAAAAAAAUAAUAAUAAUUUGGACAUUUUUCGUCAUGGGGAUGGGGCUUCGAUUCCCAGCACCCCCUCCCCACUAAAAUCAGAAACUUAGUAUUCAUUCCUUAGUUUUGUGUGGGAUCCAUGCAUCUCAUUCUCAUUCUCAACUUCAAUUUAACAAAUAAACAAGUUUUUUAUUCCAAUUCCCAUUCCGAGAAUGUAAGCACACCAUAAUAAUAAUUUAAUUCAUUUCGAUUCUGAUUCUUACAAUUUAAGUAAUUUAUUUAUUUUAAUUCUCAUUUUUCAUUCUAAUUUUAACUUAUUCUUAUUUCAGUUUAGUAAACGCCUUGUUAAUGUAAAUUGUAAGGUGCCAAAUUGAUUUAGCCACUCCAAUUUUGACACAUGAGUCCAUCUUAAAUCUCAUUUAAAAAGGAAAUUGAAUCUACUCUCUCUUUAAUCGAAAUCCACAAAUGUUUAUUUAGUUGUAUGCGCACUGCGACGCAAUGUACCAUCGAAUGCCAAAGGAUUGAAGGAUAACGAAAUAGAUUUCCAAUAUUUAAUUGAUAUAUUUGUAUUAUCUUAAUUGACUACAAUUUAAUCUCAUCUUUUUAUCUACAAUUUAAUCUCAUCUUUUUGUCCUCUUAAUAUUUGAAAAUUUAAAAUGGUCAAAUCAUAUUUGUCCUUUUGAGAUAUACCAAAGGGCAAUUCCCUAAGUUAAGGAUACAGGUUUCAACAAUAAGUUAAUUAUAUGAUAAAAUCUUGAUAAAUUAAUGUUUAUAAAUUGAUACUUCAAUUAAAUACUAUGUUUUCUCAGUUUCGAUUUGGGGCCUAUUUACUAAUUAUAAUUUGAUUAAUUAAUUAAUAUUAACUUAAUUAAUAAUUUUUUUCUUGAUCUAAGGUAUUAAUUUGUUGAGAUUAUGCUAUAAAUUAACUAAAAUCGAACCGGGUAAUUUUUAAAAACCUCCCCUGAGGUUUGGGCUUGUUGCAAGUAGAUGGCGAUAAUUGAUUUAUUUGUAAAAAACCCCCUACCGUCAGUUAAGUUUAACAUUGACCGUUAGUUGACCGUGCAAAGACAAUAUUACCCUUAACAAUAGUUUAUAAACGAAAAUAACUAAAAAAAAAACCAAAAUUAUUAGCUAUUUUACACUUUUUAAAUUAUUGAUAUUUUCUUAAAGUUUCUAUAAAAAAGUUAAAA